rnacentral:rRNA from 2 species
CUCAGGACGAACGCUGGCGGCGUGCCUAAUACAUGCAAGUCGAGCGAAUCGAUGGGAGCUUGCUCCCUGAGAUUAGCGGCGGACGGGUGAGUAACACGUGGGCAACCUGCCUAUAAGACUGGGAUAACUUCGGGAAACCGGAGCUAAUACCGGAUACGUUCUUUUCUCGCAUGAGAGAAGAUGGAAAGACGGUUUCGGCUGUCACUUAUAGAUGGGCCCGCGGCGCAUUAGCUAGUUGGUGAGGUAAUGGCUCACCAAGGCGACGAUGCGUAGCCGACCUGAGAGGGUGAUCGGCCACACUGGGACUGAGACACGGCCCAGACUCCUACGGGAGGCAGCAGUAGGGAAUCUUCCGCAAUGGACGAAAGUCUGACGGAGCAACGCCGCGUGAACGAAGAAGGCCUUCGGGUCGUAAAGUUCUGUUGUUAGGGAAGAACAAGUACCAGAGUAACUGCUGGUACCUUGACGGUACCUAACCAGAAAGCCACGGCUAACUACGUGCCA